rnacentral:rRNA from 1 species
GAAGGGACCUAGCGUAGUUCGGAAUUACUGGGCUUAAAGAGUUCGUAGGUGGUUAAAAAAGUUGGUGGUGAAAUCCCAGAGCUUAACUCUGGAACUGCCAUCAAAACUUUUUAGCUAGAGUAUGAUAGAGGAAAGUAGAAUUUCUAGUGUAGAGGUGAAAUUCGUAGAUAUUAGAAAGAAUACCAAUUGCGAAGGCAGCUUUCUGGAUCAUUACUGACACUGAGGAACGAAAGCAUGGGUAGCGAAGAGGAUUAGAUACCCUCGUAGUCCAUGCCGUAAACGAUGUGUGCUAGACGUUGGAAAUUUAUUUUCAGUGUCGCAGCGAAAGCGUUAAGCACACCGCCUGGGGAGUACGACCGCAAGGUUAAAACUCAAAUGAAUUGACGGGGACCCGCACAAGCAGUGGAGCAUGUGGUUUAAUUCGAAGAUACGCGCAGAACCUUACCAACACUUGACAUGUUCGUCGCGACUUUAAGAAAUUAAAGUUUUCGGUUCGGCCGGACGAAACACAGGUGCUGCAUGGCUGUCGUCAGCUCGUGUCGUGAGAUGUUGGGUUAAGUCCCGCAACGAGCGCAACCCUUACUUUUAGUUGCCACCAUUUAGUUGAGCACUCUGAAAGAACUGCCAGUGAUAAGCUGGAGGAAGGUGGGGAUGACGUCAAGUCCUCAUGGCCCUUACGUGUUGGGCUACACACGUGCUACAAUGGCACUUACAAUAGGAAGCAAAGAGGCGACUCCAAGCAAAUCCUAAAAAAGUGCCUCAGUUCGGAUUGUACUCUGCAACUCGAGUACAUGAAGGCUGGAAUUGCUAGUAAUCGCGGAUCAGCGCGCCGCGGUGAAUACGUUCCCGGGUCUU